UAGGGAAUAUUGCAAAAUGGGCGAAAGCCCGAUGCAGCAACGCCGCGUGGGCGAUGAAGGCCUUCGGGUCGUAAAGCCCUUUUUGAGGGGAUGAGGAAGGACAGUACCCUCAGAAUAAGCCUCGGCUAACUACGUGCCAGCAGCCGCGGUAAAACGUAGGAGGCGAGCGUUAUCCGGAUUUACUGGGCGUAAAGCGCGCGCAGGCGGAUUGGAGAGUUGGAUGUGAAAGCUCCCGGCUUAACUGGGAGAGGUCGUUCAAUACUUCCAGGCUUGAGUGCAGUAGAGGGAAGUGGAAUUCCGGGUGUAGUGGUGAAAUGCGUAGAUAUCCGGAGGAACACCAGUGGCGAAAGCGGCUUCCUGAACUGUAACUGACGCUCAGACGCGAAAGCUAGGGUAGCAAACG
rnacentral:rRNA from 1 species